rnacentral:lncRNA from 1 species
AUGGGGGGCGGCGGCGGGUCGGGGGCUCAGCGCCGCACCGGGGGCAUGGCCCCGGCCCCGCGGCCGCCGCCGCCUGCGAGCGGAGAAAAGCGCGGUUAUAACGGCGGCCCCGCGGCAGGCGCACCCGGCGCGGGUCCGAGCGGCGCUUCGGGACGGCCCCGAGUUCAUACGGAGACCCGGGGAGAGCGGGGCGCCAGCCCGGGCGGUGCCGAGGGGUCGGGGGAGCCGGGGGGGCACGCGGGGUCGCGCCCGGGGACGGUCUCGGGUUCAGGCGACGCCGCGCACGGGGAGACCUCGAGGAACGGGGCCGGGAGCGGCGCGGGGCAGCGCUCGGCGGCUCCCGAACACGCGAGUCGCGGCGCCCGGGGGCGGGGACGCGGUGCUUUCCCCGCUCCAUUAAAUUCGGAUAUCGGCAAAGAAAAAUCGCCUUCCCGCCCGCCCGGGUGCGGGGACGGGAAAACCGCGAGCGGCCGCGGCGCCGCUGUCACCUCGCGGCCGAGCCGGGGCACAGCGGUGCCGGCGGGGAGGGGGCGGCGGGGCAGAACGCGCCGAAUCCGUCCCGCUGUGGAGCUCCGAAACUUUCCCCGGAGCCAAACCAACUUCGUGGCGCCCGGCGCUCGCAGGUGUCCCGGGGCCGCGGGCGCAGGUGGGGAACCUCGGGAAGGGGACGCGAAAGGGACGGCGCGGUGCCGAACCCCCCCCCUCCCCGCCCCGCGCCCGCUGUCGAGGAACGCGCGGCCCCGCGGCGGGCGCUCGGGGUCGGCACUCACUCACCCGGGCUCGGCGGGACGGGGCCGCCCGCGGGCGGGGCGCGGCGCUCGCUCGGCUCCCGGCGGCGUCAGGGGCCCGGCGGCAUGGCGGGGCGCGGCGGGGCGGUGCGGGCGGUGCGGGCGCACGGCGGAGCGCGCUCCCUCCCGCAGCCGGACGGACACAGACAGAGAGGCGGGCGGCUACCGCCGCGUUAGGAGGAGGAGAAGAGGAGGAGGGAGAGGAGGAGGAGGAGGAGGAGGAGGAAGAGGAGGAGGAUCGCGCUCCGGGGGAAGCACCCCCCGCCCGCCCCCUUCCCCGGGAGCGGGCAGGAGCGAGCGCUCCGCGCGCCUUUGA